rnacentral:misc_RNA from 1 species
AAGUCGUAACAAGGUUUCCGUAGGUGAACCUGCGGAAGGAUCAUUACUGAAGCAUUUGCAAUGGUUUGUUGCUGCCUCGUAAGAGGACCCCUUUCUGUGCACGCCAUUCAAUCUUCUAUCUUACCACCUGUGCACCUUUCAUAGAUUAUGAAUAAAUUACUCACUGUAACAAGUGGAUCUGAGAGCUUAGCAUUUGCUUGCUUUCAAACAUAUUCAUAAUUUAUGUUCUCUUUUACACACACAUUUUGAAUUUUGAAUGUAUUGAUUUACGGAUUUUUAUCUGUAUAAAUGUAAAUACAACUUUCAGCAACGGAUCUCUUGGCUCUC